GUAUUGUAUUGCGUUAAACGCGGCACACAUUCCAUAAGACUUUGCUACGUUGUAUGUGUAAAGACGCAGAACUACAGGAGGAAGACGGCAUGUCCCCCAGACCAUAGAACUACGGAGUGUGCACAGGUGUGAGUGGAUGUGUUAACAGAGCGUGCACAUGCCCCCCGUUUGAGGGGGCCAGCAACAACUCGUGUCGACGACUCGGUAAUGAUCCUUCCGCAGGUUCACCUACGGAAA
rnacentral:misc_RNA from 1 species